AGAAGAAGAAAAAGAAGUCUAAAUGCUUUAAGAAGAAGGAGAAGAAACUCAAGUGCCUUAUUGAGGACAAGGAGAGCGAGGAGUCUAGGAGGCCGGCUUGCAAGAAGGAGCCUUGCUGCCCGAAGCAGAAAAUUGAUAAAUCUGAGAAUCAGACUAAGAUUGUUUGCAAGAAGGGCGCCAAUAAGAAGGGCAAGAAGAAGAAGAGCAAAUGUAAGAAGCAGAAACGCGACCCUUGCUGUAAACCACCAAAAAAGCAAAAAGUGAAAGAUGAGAGCUGUGGGGGAGCAUGUCCUGAAUUGCCACCUAGAAAGCCUCCGAAAAAGAAGAAACUGAAAUGUAAAAAAUUGAAACAUAAAUGCGAUGACAAACCUGAAAAAUGUUGCGAGGUGACGAAAGAUUUUGACUGCUGCCAAUCGCAUGACAAGGCCAAGCAACUCGC